rnacentral:lncRNA from 1 species
CAUAUUGGUGAAACUAUAAAAUGUCUAUGAUUGCAUGAAAGAAGUUAGUGUUGACCCAACCAUACCCCUCACCUUCUAAAUACUAAACCCUAAAUUCCAGUCACUAAACCCUAAUCCAAAUAUACCCUAAACGCUAAACCUAAAUAAAUAGAUUAAGCUAAACCCUAAUCAAGGAAGUAUAAACCCAAAUAGAAUGUAUAUAAUAUGGUUUACUAUACCCAAACAUUUACUUAGUAAAUCUAAACCCUAGGCAAGAACCUAUAAACCAAAAUUCAAAUAUAAACACAAAACCCAAAUAGAAUGGAACAAAAUAUAUAACAUAGUACAUAUUACUGAAACUAUAAAAUGUCUAUGAUUGCAUGAAAGAAGUUAACGCUGACCCCAACCAUACCCCCUCACCUUCUAAAUACUAAACCCUAAAUUCUAGUCACUAAUCACCCUAAUCACUAAGUAUUAUAGAAAUACUAAAACCACAUCCAUAAUCUUUAAAUACUAAACACUAUCCCAACUCCUAAAUACUAUGGCUAUCACUAAACCCAAACCUCAACCCCUACCUUCCAAAUACUAAACCCUAAAUUU